rnacentral:rRNA from 1 species
AUGGGGUGCAGCAGGCGCGAAAACUUUACAAUGCACGAAAGUGUGAUAAGGGAACUCCGAGUGUCGGCACCUGUGUCGACUGUCCAGGUACCUAAAAAGUAUCUGAUAGCAAGGGCCGGGUAAGACCGGUGCCAGCCGCCGCGGUAACACCGGCGGCUCGAGUGGUAGCCACUAUUAUUGAGUCUAAAGCGUCCGUAGCCUGUUUGAAAAGUCCUUUGGGAAAUCCUACAGCUUAACUGUCGGGCUUUUAGGGGAUACUAUCAGACUUGAGACCGGGAGAGGUUGGAGGUACUUCAGGAGUAGGAGUGAAAUCUUGUGAUCCCUGGGGGACCGCCGGUGGCGAAGGCGUCCAACUGGAACGGGUCUGACGGUGAGGGACGAAAGCUAGGGGCGCGAACCGGAUUAGAUACCCGGGUAGUCCUAGCCGUAAACGAUGUGAGCUAGGUGUCAGUCACACCGCGAGUGUGGCUGGUGCCGUAGGGAAGCCGUGAAGCUCACCACUUGGAAGUACGCCGCAAGGC